GAUCAUGGCUCAGGAUGAACGCUAGCGACAGGCUUAACACAUGCAAGUCGAGGGGCAGCACAGGUAGCAAUACCGGGUGGCGACCGGCGCACGGGUGAGUAACGCGUAUGCAACCUGCCGAUGACUCGGGGAUAGCCUUUCGAAAGAAAGAUUAAUACCCGAUGGCAUAGUUCUUCCGCAUGGUAGAACUAUUAAAGAAUUUCGGUCAUCGAUGGGGAUGCGUUCCAUUAGGUUGUUGGCGGGG
rnacentral:rRNA from 1 species